AGUGUUGCUCUCCCCAUGUUAACCAGUAUUUAGAGCGGCUCAACCAAUUUUGCCAAAUGCAUCUUUUUGACCCCCAGUUGGUUUCCACUGUGAUGCCUGCAAACACUUCAGCUUUUGUCCCACCGUAUCUUAAAGACUGUAUGGCACCUGGCAGAGGUGGAGGUAACUCAUCUAGAGCCAGGUAUGGGAGAAAGAAGACUCUGGAUGAGAGCGAGAAGCCAAAGAGCAAGCAGUAAUCUACUGAGCAUCUCCACUGCGCCCUGCCCUGUGCUGAGAGCCUGGUGCAGUGUUCAUGAAAAGUAACAGCUGCUCGCGUAGGAGCUGGUGUUUUAGCCAGAAAACUAAGUAAUCAAAUAACUGACUUAAUGUGACAAGGAAUCUCAAAAGGUUUGGUUUGGGGUGUUCUAAGGGACAAAAUAGAUAUUUGUUUUUCCAGCUUUGGCAUAAAAUGGCUUAUUUUUCUGAAGUGCAAAUACAUAUCUUGUAUUUGGUUAUAAAAAUAAAUAUGCUAAUUAUAAGGGUCAAACAUUACAGAAAAUUAUAAAGGAGGAAUAAAAUAUAACAUAAAUCGUACCAUUCAAAGACUACCCUGUUGUAAAUGCUAAUGUCUAUUUCUUUCUACAUAUGUUCACGCAGUUUUGCAAAAAUGGACUCAAACCAUGUCUGAAACUUUGACCUCUUCUGGGCCCACUGAACAGUUUCUAUGGCCAUCGCUGUAUUUGAUGGCUGUUGACUGACAUCAUCACAUGUAAAGGCUGGGUGACAUCGUAUAGCAGUAGCGUUAUUCACUUCAGCCAUCCGGUCACGAAGUGCUAUGCCAUGCAGGGCCCCUGGCGAGGAGGCCCUGCUUGUUGUGGCUCCCUGGCUUGCAGACAUCCGGGCUGUGCAGAAAACUUGUAUUUCUGAGUAGGUGUCUCGUCACCUCAUCUCUCUUUUUAUUUCAGAAAGGACCCAUCGUGUAUGCCAGCCCUUUCACCAGAUUUAGCCCCUCAUAAAUAUUGAAAACGUGCUGAUAAUUGUCAGAGAAAUGUGUACUUAGAGUUGACUGAUAAAAUUUUAUCAUAUGUCCACAAACUAUUCCGUCAAGCACGCCCAUAGAUUGGGAAUAAAACAAAGUAUGAAUUGUGUUGUAAAUUAUGGUUGUAUAGACUAAAUUUAGAAGUGGUAAAUGGCCUUUACUGAGCAUGCUUAUAGUGUAAAAUGCUGUUAUGGAUGUUGGCAAGCUUAAUAAUGCUCUACCACAAGAUGAAAACUAAUUUGAAUUAUAUUCUUCAUCCAAAAGUAAAAGUGUGUUAGAAUCCUAGAGUUGAGAGAGAUGCAAAUUUAGAAGUAUAGAUACUUUGCUUUGUUAGAUUAUUCAUAUUAUUUAUAAUAGUUUUAUAUAAGUUCUUCUUUAGUGAAUAAAUGAAGAGGUGAAUCAUUCCUUAUCAUACUUUGGCACCUGGAUUUAGUUGAAAAAAUAAAAAAAACCGGAGGGACAGAAGCAGCCUAUUUAUUCUAAGGAGGAAGUAAAAUAAGGAUUUCUGUUCAAAAGUUACCUUAGCCACUAUUCUGCAAAUGACUUGCCCUAUUUACACUGUUAAAAGGCAGACUGUCAGGGACA